rnacentral:lncRNA from 1 species
UAACACAGAUGUUCGAGAAGGAAGUUCCUUCUCAUUUUCUCAUUUCAGGAAAUGGCUAAGCAAUUGCAAAAGUUGGAAGAGAAAAUUGAGAGCCAGGCCUAGUUUCUUCGCUGCUCCCACAGAACAAGAGAUAAUAAUAAUAAUAUUGGUAUUUGUUAAACGCUUACUAUGUGCAGAGCACUGUUCUACGUGCUGGGGUAGAUACAGGGUAUUCAGGUUGUCCCACGUGAGGCUCUCAGUUAAUCCCCAUUUUCUAGAUGAGGUAACUGAGGCCCAGAGAAGUUAAGUGACUUGCCCAAGGUCACACAGCUGACAAGUGGCAGAGCCGGCAUUCGAACCCAUGACCUCAGACUCCCAAGUCCGGGCUCUUUCCACUGAGCCACGGCACCGCAUAUUGCGUGU